rnacentral:rRNA from 1 species
AUUGAACGCUGGCGGCAUGCCUUACACAUGCAAGUCGAACGGCAGCACGGGUGCUUGCACCUGGUGGCGAGUGGCGAACGGGUGAGUAAUACAUCGGAACGUACCUUAUCGUGGGGGAUAACGCAGCGAAAGCUGUGCUAAUACCGCAUACGCCCUGAGGGGGAAAGCGGGGGAUCGCAAGCCCUCGCGCGAUUAGAGCGGCCGAUGCCUGAUUAGCCUGUUGGUGGGGUAUAAGCCCACCAAGGCGACGAUCAGUAGCUGGUCUGAGAGGACGAUCAGCCACACUGGGACUGAGACACGGCCCAGACUCCUACGGGAGGCAGCAGUGGGGAAUUUUGGACAAUGGGGGCAACCCUGAUCCAGCAAUGCCGCGUGAGUGAAGAAGGCCUUCGGGUUGUAAAGCUCUUUUGUCAGGGAAGAAACACCGGCUCUAACACAGUCUGGGAAUGACGGUACCUGAAGAAUAAGCACCGGCUAACUACGUGCCAGCCGCCGCAGUAA